AUGAACAGUACGUGGCCCACAAUUCAAAUCAUCUUUCUAUCCUGGCCACCUUACGGUACAGUAGUUACAAAGGCAGGAGGGAAGCUCAGCAUGGGUGGACCUAUUGGGAAUAUCCUAGACGAGCUCUCCAUCCAUAUGAAUUUCGAGUACGAAGGACGUCUACCUCACGACGGCCAUGUCGGCAUGCGCUUACCAAAUGGGUCGUGGACGGGAUGUGUCGGCUUCCUUCACCGUGGGGAAGUGGACAUGGUUUUCUUGCCCAUCAUCCAGUCGUACGAACGUAGUACUGU